UACGUAGGGUGCAAGCGUUGUCCGGAAUUAUUGGGCGUAAAGAGCUCGUAGGCGGUCUGUCGCGUCGGCUGUGAAAACCCGGGGCUCAACCUGGGAACUGCAUCUGUGACUGCAUCGCUGGAGUGCGGCAGAGGGGGAUGGAAUUCCUGGUGUAGCAGUGAAAUGCGUAGAUAUCAGGAGGAACACCGAUGGCGAAGGCAGGUCUCUGGGCUGACACUGACGCUCAUGCACGAAAGCGUGGGGAGCAAACGAGGAUUA
rnacentral:rRNA from 1 species